CCGUAGUUGCCAUCGGGUCAAGCCGGAGACUCUAGCGGGACUGCCACCGUAAGGUGAGAGGAAGUGGGGAUGACGUCAAAUCAGCACGGCCCUUAUGUCCAGGGCUACACACGUGUUACAAUGGCCGGUACAGAGGGCAGCUACCUGGUGACAGGAUGCUAAUCCCGAAAGCCGGUCCCAGUUCGGAUUGGAGUCUGCAACCCGACUCCAUGAAGUUGGAUUCGCUAGUAAUCGCGCAUCAGCCAUGGCCGCGGUCGAAUACGUUCCCGGGCCUU
rnacentral:rRNA from 1 species